UACGUAGGGGGCUAGCGUUGUCCGGAAUCAUUGGGCGUAAAGCGCGUGUAGGCGGUCCGGUAAGUCCGCUGUGAAAGCCAGGGGUCAACCCUUGGAUGCCGGUGGAUACUGUCGGGCUUGAGUACGGAAGAGGCGAGUGGAAUUCCUGGUGUGGCGGUGAAAUGCGCAGAUAUCAGGAGGAACACCAAUUGCGAAGGCAGCUCGCUGGGACGUGACUGACGCUGAGGAGCGAAAGCAUGGGGAGCGAACAGG
rnacentral:rRNA from 1 species